rnacentral:rRNA from 1 species
GGAUUAGCGGCGAACGGGUGAGGAACACGUGAAGAAUCUGCCUUCAACUCUGGGAUAACUCCGGGAAACCGGGGCUAAUACCGGAUAUGAGCCUUGAUCGCAUGAUCGGGGCUGGAAAGUUUUUCGGUUGAAGAUGACUUCGCGGCCUAUCAGCUUGUUGGUGAGGUAAUGGCUCACCAAGGCGACGACGGGUAGCCGGCCUGAGAGGGCGACCGGCCACACUGGGACUGAGACACGGCCCAGACUCCUACGGGAGGCAGCAGUGGGGAAUAUUGGGCAAUGGACGAAAGUCUGACCCAGCGACGCCGCGUGCGGGAUGAAGGCCUUCGGGUUGUAAACCGCUUUCAGCAGGGAAUAAGCGCAAGUGAAGGUACCUGCAGAAGAAGCACCGGCUAACUAUGUGCCAGCAGCCGCGGUAAUACAUAGGGUGCAAGCGUUGUCCGGAAUUAUUGGGCGUAAAGAGCUCGUAGGUGGUUUGUUACGUCGGUUGUGAAAUUCAGGGGCUCA